AUUUUUAAUUUUGUCUAUUUGUUUCAGAAAAGAACAGAAGUAGGCAAUAGGCCAGUAUUCCAUUCUGAACACAGCCAUACAGAUGUUUAGACAAAAUGUUUUGGGUUUGAGUAUAUCAGUUGAAUUUAUUAUGACUGUGUUUAUUAUUUAUUCAGUCCACGUUUGUAGAGAAUGACAAAACGUUAAAGCAACUGUAUGUAGUCUUAUGUAUUUUUGCGACUUUGGAGCCCCCUACAGUUAAGAGAGUGGAAUUCACUGACGUAAUUACAGCGGAUAGCUGUACACGUGGAUAUUUAUUGCUUCGCGGAAUUUCGUACCCGCUCACCAAACUUGCUUCCGGAACAGAAAUUUGUGGGGAGCGGGCAAAAGAAACAGAAGCCAUUCUCCUUAUUAGAAGUGAAAGUGAAGUGAAAGUCGUGACAUUUGCCAAGUAUGGUAACCCAUACUCGGAAUUGGUGCUCUGCAUUUAACCCAUCCAAGUGCACACACACAGCAGUGAGAACAGUGGUGUCAAACUCAGUUCCUGGAGGGCCACACCCCUGGAUAGUUUAGCUCCAACCCUAAUUAAACACACCUGAUCCAGCUAAUCAGGUCCUUCAGGCUUAUUUGAAAACUACAUGCUAUGCACGUUGGUGCAGGGUUGGAAGUAAACCCUCCAAGAACUGAGUUUGACACCCCUGCCUUAUUAAAAGCUAGUGUACCAUCAGAAUGAUUUUGAAACAGAUAGUUUCAAGGUAAAAAAGUACAUACAGUUGUUUGAAAUUGUAAGGAAAAAAGGAAAGAUAUUUGGGUAAUGUAGUGGCAUAUUUAACAUAUCAAUUGUGUUUAACAUGAAUAGCAUGAUGGGUGUCUAAAACACAAGCUUUAGGAGUCUGUGUUAUGAGUGAAGCUGUAGAUGUGUUGAAGUGUGCUGUCUGUGUAUGUAGAUGUGUUUGAGUGUAUCGAAACACCUUUACUGAUUUGUGAUGGGGUGUUUUCUCCAAAAAAGGUUUGAUUUAUACUUGUGUUUUGAUAAAGUUUGAAUGAUCAGAAUUGUUUUGAAAUACUUUUAUAGCUGCCUUGAACAUUAUGGGUUCAUAUAACUCUGCCCCAUGAUGUUAAAGUAAUAGAAAGCUUUGCUUUUUGUUGUUUUGCACAGUUUUGAGGGCCAUAAAACCAGUUUAGCAGCUGGACUAUAAAGUGGGUGUCCUUACGACCCAGUCAUAUUCAGAGCUGCUGAUUGGUCAGUUGGUAUCCAUAAGACAUAUGUUUCUGAAAAAAAGUCUUAUUUUGAUUUGAAGAUGUGCCAUGAACGGAUGAUAAUAUUUUAGGCCUUGGAAAUACUUGAGAUGGAGAAUAUUGCAGUACAUUGAGGGACAUGAUACAACACAUCCAAGACAGACACUAGGUUAGUUUCCCCUUUUAACGUACAACAUUCAAACAUAUGCCUGUCAUGUGUCUGCACCUCAGUGAUUGCAUGCAAAAAUGCAACUCCUCUCGGACUUUAAAGUGUGCAAAUGGAUUUCUGACAAUCCUUGUUAAAUGCCGCUCCGCAAGAAGUGGCAUGUGUAGAUAGUGUAUGAUAUGUUCUUUUUUUAAUUUUGUAUGAGCAAACAGCACCUCUAAUUAUGUAUAAAUGCUCCUCUGUAAAACACUCUGCAGUCAGUUG
ensembl:lncRNA